rnacentral:rRNA from 1 species
AUUGAACGCUGGCGGCAGGCUUAACACAUGCAAGUCGAGCGGGGUGAUGGUGCUUGCACUAUCACUUAGCGGCGGACGGGUGAGUAAUGCUUAGGAAUCUGCCUAUUAGUGGGGGACAACAUCUCGAAAGGGAUGCUAAUACCGCAUACGUCCUACGGGAGAAAGCAGGGGAUCACUUGUGACCUUGCGCUAAUAGAUGAGCCUAAGUCGGAUUAGCUAGUUGGUGGGGUAAAGGCCUACCAAGGCGACGAUCUGUAGCGGGUCUGAGAGGAUGAUCCGCCACACUGGGACUGAGACACGGCCCAGACUCCUACGGGAGGCAGCAGUGGGGAAUAUUGGACAAUGGGGGGAACCCUGAUCCAGCCAUGCCGCGUGUGUGAAGAAGGCCUUAUGGUUGUAAAGCACUUUAAGCGAGGAGGAGGCUCUUUUGGUUAAUACCCAAGAUGAGUGGACGUUACUCGCAGAAUAAGCACCGGCUAACUCCGUGCCAGCCGCCGCUGAAA